UCUCUUAAACCUAUCUUUGGAAAUCUAACUUAAUUAUAAAGUCUAAAACUAUUUUUAACUGUCUUGUCUGACGCACCAUCUAAAAUGGAUUGCAAGGUACACUCUACUAAGUACCUCUUUGCAUUGCUUAGGACUUAAGAUAGGAAGUUGUUGGGUGCAGCAGUUGCUAAACAACUGCGCAUACUUGUAAUUAGCUGUAGUCUACCCUACAGAUAAUAUUCCGACCUCUUCAUUAAAUAAUGGUUAUCUUAUGACUUUCUCUAAAUCUUAACUUAAUAAAUCUUGUGAGUAUUAUGAGAUCUACUAAAAAUCAUAUACUCUGUACGUCAGGUUGCAAGUAAACAGACCUAAAAUGUUUAUUUUGUUAGUCAGACUCAAGAUUAGCUAGUACAGUUAAGAUAGCGGAUUUUCCUUAGGUAAAAUCCUACCGUAAAAAGGGGGAUAUGUAACGGUUAGCGUUACCGCUGACCUUUAUCUUAGAACUAAAUUCUAAUUUAAUUACUAUUAUCUACCUAAAUAAAUAUACUUAAAUAAUAAAAUAUCUAAAUCUACGUAAACUACCUAACUAAAUAACUUAAUUAAAUAAUUCAUAUUGUUCUACACUAAUAAAAUAAAUAAAAUAAUAAAUCUAAAAGCAAACCCGCGCGAAACAAGUUGUUCAAUAUUUCUUUUGUUCUCUGUCGAGCGGGCGGACUGUUUUUUAUGCAUGCGCAAGCGACGCGCCUACGGCCGCGAUGCUCCCGCCGCGUCUCCUAGUCCGAGCCAGAGCGUUAUUGAGCACGGACGUAUCGCUGUCCGUCACCGCCGGACCCGCGAUGUACGUAACUUUAUAAAACUCCAAAAUGUAAUCGCGUAUUCGUGAACCCCGCUACCGGGGUUCACGUUCACCUACAUCUUCUACGCCUACCUACUACACCAUGCAUGGUCACCACUGCCGAUCCUACCACCUGGCUCUUCAACCCGGCAGAGCUGCCUGCCGUGUCGGACGGCCCGUGCGCACACUCUAAGUGGCCCUACACCACAGUGCGUACGGCCCUAGCCGUCUGGCGCGUCGACGACUCUGCGGGCCUACCAACUCGAAGAACCAACCCACAUCACCAUCAAUGCUAGCGAGGACAGUGGUUUGAAUAUACUACCACCGGUGACGAAUCUCGUGCGAUACGAUAGUUUGCUCGUAACCCACACCCUUAAGGUCUCUUUCUCUUAAAUUGAAAUAAAAGACUUGUUAACCUAAA